rnacentral:tRNA from 1 species
UGCCGUUGUGAUGGAAUGGCAGACAUACCGGACUUAAAAUCCGGAGGGCGUAAUUGCCCGUGCGGGUUCAAGUCCCGCCAACGGCAG